UCCAACUGCUUUCCAAAGUGGCAGGCCCCAUUUUACUUUCCUACCGGCAAUGUGGGAGAGUUUCUGUUUCUCCAUAUUAAAUCCAACUAUGCAUGUUUGAAUGUGAGAGAGACAGAGAAAGAGACAGAAAUGAGACAGACAGAAAGAAUAAUGCUUUAAAUAAUGCAGGGGUCUCCUCUCUGAAGAUUCACUGCAGAAAUGAGCUGACAACAGACAGCUUAACAGGAAAAGAAAAACAUAGAACAGGCAUAAACAUGGGAACCAGCUGAAAAAUGAGACUGCUAGAAGGGCUGGAUGGUUGAUGCUUAAAGAGCAGCCUCUUCUGAGGGGAGAGGGAGAUAGAUGGAGAUGUAGGCCAUUUAGAGGGGCAGCAAAUGAUUUUUAGGGGAAAUGAAAGAGCCCAAGGAACAAAACAAUUGGCCUGAGACAAAGUUCCUCUGAGGUCAUAGGGACGAGGUGACAAACUGCCGGAAGGUGAAGGGCAGAACUGCACUGCGUCUCAUGAUGCAGAGAAAGCCCCAGAGAAUCUCUUAGAACUGCCCUCCAAGAGAAUCAAUGAAAAGUGUGUCUGGGCAGGGUAAUUUUGAAUGAGAUCAUUCAAAGUGCAUGUUUCCACUUGCAACUGGAGAGAGAUCAGUAUGUCAAAAGUCUGUACUUGGUAAGAAUUUGGCUGCUAAGUUGUGCCAUAAUUUGUCUUUUGAGCCUUUUUUCCUUUGGGUAAGUUGAGCUCUACAUUUUGUCUUGCCAUUCAUGACAGUAAAA
rnacentral:lncRNA from 1 species